rnacentral:rRNA from 1 species
UUUAAAGAGAGUUUGAUCCUGGCUCAGGACGAACGCUGGCGGCGUGCCUAAUACAUGCAAGUCGAACGAACGGAGGAAGAGCUUGCUCUUCCAAAGUUAGUGGCGGACGGGUGAGUAACACGUGGGCAACCUGCCUGUAAGUUGGGGAUAACUCCGGGAAACCGGGGCUAAUACCGAAUGAUAGAAUGUGGCGCAUGCCACGCUUUUGAAAGAUGGUUUC